rnacentral:rRNA from 1 species
GUGGAUUGUACCUAACGAAGUACGGGUCCCGUUUAAAGGGCCCAAGGUAUGAUUCAUGAUUGGGGUG